rnacentral:lncRNA from 1 species
UGAUCUAAUUUAUGAGUGUUAUAUACAUGAUAAUAAAAAUGCGACAAAGAAACGGGACAGUUUAUAAAAAUAAUGAAGCGAUAAACUAAAUUAAGGGAGCAAUGAAUAAAAAUAAAGGAACUGAGGGAAAGAAUACUGGGCUCUGGUGAUUGGGCCUCAAGAAGGCAGGCCCAACAAAAGAGAGAUACAACUACAACUGACGGGAUUCUCCAAAGAAUGUGACAAGGUUGGGAUAGGGUCUGAGUUCCUUAGGAACUCAGUAGGCUCAAAUGUGUACAUGCCUAAAAGAGAAAGAAAGUCAUUAGAUACAUGCUCCAUAUAUUCAACAUAUUCAAACAUGUAUGAAACAUAUUUAAACAAACGACUGGAACAAGAAAAUAUCAAUAUUUAAAUGUUAUGGGAAAUUAUACUAAUGUGGUAGUCAUACAUGGCAAACAAUUUAUAUUGAAAACCUUUCGUUGUCAUUAAACACCAAACCCCUAAAGAACUAGAAGUGUUAAUGAAUUAAGGGCUAAGGAGGAAGUUCUACUCAAGGUCGAUGCCCCCUUUGAAUUCCUCGACACUUCAAAGUUCCCAAGGGACUCAAGGCCCAGGGCAAUGUUAGUGCCGGGGAGAGCAGCCCAACCUAGAGUUAAACUCCACUCCUAAAUACCCUUAACUGCUAACAGAAUAUUUUCCUUAUGGGUUUAUAUGUCAAUGAGGCACUUUCAAUGUAAACUAAGUGUUAUAGCAUCCCUUACCACAAAAAUAUACUUUCCCUCCUAAUAGAAUAACAUAAGAGGACACAGACUACCUUUGAAACCAAAUAAAGAUUACAUAUCAGGUAAACCUAAAGGUCUGACUUUAGAACACAUAUAGAAGAGAAACUGAAGUCUCAUAACAUAUUGUUACAGGGGCAAAUCACUAAGGAAAAACACAUUCAAAGAGAAAGUGGAUACAUAAUUCAUAUAGUCAGCAACACAAGAGAUGCAGAUACUCCUUCCCUGGCAAACUAACUGUGGACUGCUUAGUUUGUUAUUAACACAUACAAGGAUUAGUGGGACUACUUAGAACUUUAAAGGUCAUCAGUAAAGAUUCAAACAAAAUAGUUAUGGCUAACCAUUUUUACAGAGGUUAUCAAAGAUAUCAGGAACAUGAUUAAACUCUCAACAUGAAUACAAGUUCACAUAUUUAAACAUGGGAUCCCUAAGGACUCAACAAAGUCAUAUUCCUAACAGUAUUAACCUUAAACAAGUCAUCAUGUUUAGACAGUAUCAACAAGGACUUCAUAAGGUUUAAGGACCAGGUUCAGUUUCAAAUUAAUAAUAGGUAAAUGACUGAGUACAAUUUAAGACAAGAACAUGAAGUCAAAUAGGGACCAUACAGUAUUCUGUCGAUUACACACAGACAUUUCAAGUGAAGUUAUGACUUCAUACAGACAGGAGAGCUUUGCACAUUACAGGAUCAAGUUAAACGUAUCAAUGAAGAGGGGGAAUUACAGGUAAAAGAAGCAUUGUAUCAAAACAAGUUUAACUCAGACAUAAGUGUAGCUUAGUAUCUAAGUGUGAAGUAGUCAUGCUUCAGCUUUUAAAAUUAUCACUUGAUUAUAACAGAAUAACUAAGUCCUACUUUUAUGGAAGAUAACUUAAUGAUAGAUGCAUGUAAGCUUCACAAAACCAACAAUAGUUUAAAGAGAUUAAAGACAGGGAAGUACUACACUAAGUGAGUUUCGAAUUAAACAUGUAAUUGAAGAUUUUAACUAAUAAUGAGACAAACAAGUUCAGCUUAACAUCAAUUAUCAGUUACUUAUAACAAAACAGGAUCAUGACUUGUUCUAUGAAGAAAAUGAUAACUCCAUCUUAACAAAAUGUAUACAAUAGAACUAUUGGGGUUCAUGAAAAGAAGACAGCUUAACUCAAACAAGAUUGUUUCAUGCAAAUGCAACCAACAGUAGUAUAAUCAUGUGAAUACCAUAGUAACAACCCAGAAGUUGCCUUUAGGUUUAACAGAUACAUGUAUAGAGAAGGAAGGCAUUUAGACACUCAUAUUUUCAUGUCAUAAACUUAUGAACUUUCAGAUUCAUCUUAAUCAAGAUUAUCAAACAAUAAACUCAACCACAAGACUAUCAGAAAACAUAGAUACAAUAUGCAAAGGUAAAGAUUACUGUAGAAUCAUCAAUAAAAGGCUAUGAAGUUUAGGUAAGUAUGAACAAUCAUUCAAGACACAUUACAACUUAAACAUGUGGACUGUUGGAACUCAGAAAUGAAAAUCAUCAAGAAUCAUUUAAAAACUUGAUUAAUCAUUAAUUAAAGACUCAAAAGGAAUUAUGCAGACAAUAUACUAUUAUAACAGAACAUAAGCAUUCUCAUACUAAUUACAAACAUCAUAAACAACUAUAAUUCUCAUAAGAUAACUAACAUAUUCAUAAUGUUCAUAUAAGAUUAAAAAGAGAGAGAUUAUGAAUGCACUGACCUUUUUUAGGGUAGAAGACCAAAUGAGGAUAUCUCUUAGUUGCUUAAGACCUGCGAAGCUUCAAGAUCGAAGCAAUGAUAGUACUCAAAAAAUGGAAAAAAGAAAGCAGUAAGGAACCCUAGGUUUUUUAAUCUCAAAAUUGCUCUUAGACUACUGUAUAAGUGUUUUUCAGUGUUAGGUUGUGUUGGUGAGAACAUUAAAGGCCCCUUUUUAUAGUGCCAUUUAAGGCUUUAGGGCUUCAUAGAUUGAAAGCAAUAGUGGAGAGUGACACAUGGUAGAUGAUGAUAGCAAGAUUGUGAUUAAAAAAGGGAAUUAUAAGCAAGAUUCGUGGUGUAGCAGGGACGUGAGAGAUGAUUUACAGUAUUUUCGAGUGACAUUGCAUGAAUUUGUGCAUGGUUCUGAGAGUGAUGGUUGAUUGAGAGGAGAGAAAAGAGAGGGGAAAGGGAAAUGAGGGCGGCUGAGUGGAGGGGAAAUG